rnacentral:rRNA from 1 species
UAGAGUUUUGAUCCUGGCUCAGGACGAACGCUGGCGGCGUGCCUAAUACAUGCAAGUCGAACGCUUCUUUUUCCACCGGAGCUUGCUCCACCGGAAAAAGAGGAGUGGCGAACGGGUGAGUAACACGUGGGUAACCUGCCCAUCAGAAGGGGAUAACACUUGGAAACAGGUGCUAAUACCGUAUAACAAUCAAAACCGCAUGGUUUUGAUUUGAAAGGCGCUUUCGGGUGUCGCUGAUGGAUGGACCCGCGGUGCAUUAGCUAGUUGGUGAGGUAACGGCUCACCAAGGCCACGAUGCAUAGCCGACCUGAGAGGGUGAUCGGCCACAUUGGGACUGAGACACGGCCCAAACUCCUACGGGAGGCAGCAGUAGGGAAUCUUCGGCAAUGGACGAAAGUCUGACCGAGCAACGCCGCGUGAGUGAAGAAGGUUUUCGGAUCGUAAAACUCUGUUGUUAGAGAAGAACAAGGAUGAGAGUAACUGUCACCC